GUACGGGGUUAGUAGCCGGAACUCUAAGGAGACUGCCGGUGACAAACCGGAGGAAGGUGGGGAUGACGUCAAGUCAUCAUGGCCCUUACGGCCUGGGCUACACACGUGCUACAAUGGUCGGUACAAAGGGUUGCCAAGCCGCGAGGUGGAGCUAAUCCCAUAAAACCGAUCGUAGUCCGGAUCGCAGUCUGCAACUCGACUGCGUGAAGUCGGAAUCGCUAGUAAUCGUGAAUCAGAAUGUCACGGUGAAUACGUUCCCGGGCCUU
rnacentral:rRNA from 1 species